rnacentral:rRNA from 1 species
GACGAACGCUGGCGGCGUGCUUAACACAUGCAAGUCGAGCGAUCGGCCUUGGAGGGGUAACCCUCCUUGGUACGGAGCGGCGAACGGGUGAGUAACACGUGGGCAACCUGCCCCAGGCUCUGGAAUAACCCCGGGAAACGGGGCUAAUGCCGGAUAUUCUCGUAGGGUCGCAUGGCCUCUCGAGGAAAGAAUUUCGGCCUGGGAUGGGCCCGCGGCCUAUCAGCUUGUUGGCGGGGUAACGCCCACCAAGGCUGCGACGGGUAGCUGGUCUGAGAGGACGACCAGCCACACUGGCACUGCGACACGGGCCAGACUCCUACGGGAGGCAGCAGUGAGGAAUAUUGCGCAAUGGACGACAGUCUGACGCAGCGACGCCGCGUGGGGAUGAAGG